rnacentral:misc_RNA from 1 species
GAUGAAGAACUUAGCGAAAUGCGAUAAGUAAUGUGAAUUGCAGAAUUCAGUGAAUCAUCGAAUCUUUGAACGCACAUUGCGCCCCCUGGUAUUCCGGGGGGCAUGCCUGUUCGAGCGUCAUUUCACCACUCAAGCCUCGCUUGGUAUUGGGCAUCGCGGUCCGCCGCGCGCCUCAAAUCGACCGGCUGGGUCUUCUGUCCCCUAAGCGUUGUGGAAACUAUUCGCUAAAGGGUGUUCGGGAGGCUACGCCGUAAAACAACCCCAUUUCUAAGGUUGACCUCGGAUCAGGUAGGGAUACCCGCUGAACUUAAGCAUAUCAAUAAGCGGAGGA